AAAAGCAACUGCUGCUUAUUGCGGGCCUUACCCGGGAGCGGGGCCUACUACACAGCAGCAAAUGGUCGGCGGAGUUGGCUUUCUCUCUCCCUGCAUUGCCUCUGGCCGAGAUGCAACCGCCUCCGCCUAUUACAGAGGAAGAUGCCCAGGAUAUGGAUGCCUAUACCCUGGCCAAGGCCUACUUUGACGUUAAAGAGUAUGAUCGGGCAGCACAUUUCCUGCAUGGCUGCAAUAGCAAGAAAGCCUAUUUUCUGUAUAUGUAUUCCAGAUAUCUGUCUGGAGAAAAAAAGAAGGACGAUGAAACAGUUGAUAGCUUAGGCCCCCUGGAAAAAGGACAAGUGAAAAAUGAGGCACUUAGAGAAUUGAGAGUGGAGCUCAGCAAAAAACACCAAGCUCGAGAACUUGAUGGAUUUGGACUUUAUCUGUAUGGUGUGGUGCUUCGAAAACUGGACUUGGUUAAAGAGGCCAUUGAUGUGUUUGUGGAAGCUACUCAUGUUUUGCCCUUGCAUUGGGGAGCCUGGUUAGAACUCUGUAACCUGAUCACAGACAAAGAGAUGGUAAAUUGUGAUGAGCUAUGUGAAAAACCCUCUGCUUCAAGCCUUUUGUAAUUCUGUAGUAAUAUAGAGGGGGGAAAGUUUUGGCAGGCCUUUGGUUAUAGUUCUCCUUUUGCUGCGCCUCUGGUGUCUUUCACUGUUUUGGAAUUAAAUCUUUGUUUGAAAGACUGAUGACUAGCUC
rnacentral:sRNA from 1 species